rnacentral:rRNA from 1 species
AACGAACGCUGGCGGCAUGCCUAACACAUGCAAGUCGAACGAGACCUCCGGGACUUGGGGCGCCCGGGGGCGUAACGCGUGGGAACCGGCACUUAGGGUCGGAAUAACUCUCCGAAAGGGGUGCUAACAGCGGAUAAUGUCUUCUGACCAAAGAUUUAUCGCCUUUGGUUGGUCCCGCGUUGGAUUAGCUAGUUGGUAGGGUAAAAGCAUCCCAAGGCGACGAUGCAUAGCUGGUCUGAGAGGCAGAUCAGCAACUCUGAGACGGAGACGCGGCCCAGAAUCCUCCGGGAGGGAGGAGUGGGGGAUAUUGGACAAUGGCCGAAGGCAUGAUGCAGCUAUGCCGCGUGAGUGAUGAUGGCAUUAGAGUUGUAAUGCUCUUGUAACCGGGAUCAUCAUGACGGUACCGGGAGAAUAAGCCCCGGCUAACUCCGUG